GUCAUUUGAAGAGCUCUAAUCACAGGCUUUAGAUGUUCACAGAACAAUCAUCAAGAGGCCAUUUACUGAAAAGGACAUCUGUCCUGGAAAAUAGAAACUUCAUUUAUAAUAUUGUUUCUACUAAUGAGGAUUAUGUCAAGACUGAUAAGAGUUUUUAUAUCUGUUUGCAGAGUUCAAGAUUUCAACAUUUUAAGAUAAUCUGAAAAAAAUUGGAAUGUGCCCCCAGCUGCCAAUACUCUCUCAACACUGUUUAUCAAAGGAACCAAUAUGGAAGGAAAAACAUUGCUUUGAAGGGAAGAUGGAUGGAUCCCCUAGUAAACUACAGCUUGAGGUGCAAUUUCCUAAAGUUCAAAUGCCUGAAAAAGGAAACGAAAGAAAGAAACUCAACUCUUGAGACAGCUUCAAUGCUAGCUUUGAUCUCAAUUAUAGAGUUAUUUAUGAAAAGUGCAUUUUUACAACUAAAAAUAAAUUAGGAUCAAAAGCUU
rnacentral:lncRNA from 1 species